UUCCUCUGCAGACAGUGUGUGUGGAGAAAAAUGUCACGCUGGGCGGGACGUGUCUGAAUGUCGGCUGCAUCCCCUCCAAGGCUCUGCUGAACAACUCCUACCUGUACCACCUGGCUCACGGCAAGGACUUUGAAAGUAGAGGCAUCGAAAUUUCAGGCAUCUCGUUGAACCUGGAGAAGAUGAUGGCUCAGAAGAGCGGAGCGGUCAAAGCGCUGACCGGAGGAAUCGCACAUUUAUUCAAACAGAACAAAGUGACCCAUGUCAACGGUUUUGGGAGGGUGACUGGUAAGAACCAGGUGACGGCCGUAUCAGCAGACGGCAGCGAACAGGUCAUCAAUACCAAGAACAUCCUCCUCGCCACGGGCUCUGAGGUCACACCCUUCCCCGGGA